AAGAGAGAGAAAAACUAGAAACCGUUGCCCACAGCACAGAGCUGCACAGCCAGGCACUAAGAUGAGCUAAUUCCUAUGAGCAAGCACUAAUUUAGGGAAAGUCAGAUUUCUCUGGGGACGGUUUGCGAACGCGGCAGCAAGAGCCCAGAUUGGUUGCAGCUGUGUUUGCCUGCGUGCAUGUCAGGGAGCGGAAACACCAGGCGAGAGCCAGCAGACAGUGGGAGAAGCAGUGGUGCAUGGCCCUGAGAAAAAGCCAAGGGACAGCUUCUUCUGGGCAAGCAUCCUGGCUAGAGCAGCAAACUUGGACUGCUGCAGCGCGCUCCCUCCCAUUUGCUUCCUCUGCGUGCAAGGAAAUGGGACGUGGCUGUACAUUCUUUGUAAAUAAAUAGGAUUACACCGAGGAGAUAACUGAAUUCAUCACCAAGUUUUCCUCCUCAUAGGGAAAUCUGGCAAAGUGCUGAAUAUUAGUUAGGGUCAAAGCUCUGCCUGUAGAACGAUGGGGAUUUUUAGUGCUGCCGAAUCGGUCAUUGGAGACCUUGCAGAAUAUCGAGGCGGUCUCUGAAAUUCAGACCUCGAAAGUACAGUCGAAACAUUUCAGUUGCUGAUGAUCCUUCAUGGAUUUUUAAUGCCCGGUAUUUUUACAGUGCAUAUUAAAAGUAGUUUUUAUGGAACAAUAAUAAGAAAUGGCUUUCUCUGAUCCUUCUUUUGGAGUGCUUAAUGUAGUCCAGAUGUAUCUGUCAAAAAACAAGUGUAGUCAGAUGCAGUGUAGUUGUGCAACGUUCAUACAUGGUUAAGGUGUUUGAUACACAGAGCUGCUUUGAAUAGUUUAUUUAUGCUGUCUUACAGUGUCUUCUUACUGAGCUGUAUUGGCACCGCUGGCAGGUUGAUUUCCACAUUUAGGUCCCAACAGCAGCUACAUGGCACAUCUCAGGUUGCCUCUCUCCAAAUGAGGUAUCCUCAUAUGAAUAAAGCAACGUGCUUCAACAAGCCUGAAGCUGGAAUGUGCUCUGGGUGUGCUCCGACAUCUCUGCAACGGGACACGAAGCCUGAACCUCCUCCAGGGAAAAGAAAACUAGACCUGGAGUCAAGGGUCUGGUGGUCGUCUAAUCUUGCACUGAACUGGUUUAGCUUGUUGAAUCAGCAGAAAACUAACUGACGCACAGAAAAGGGAAUAGCAUUCUGCAGGUAAAUUGGGGCGAUUCAGCUUGGAAGGGCAUCCAUGAAGCGUGGCAGAGUCGGUACAAGAGAGGUGAGCAGCAGCAGAGCUCCAUCAGGUUGUUGGCUGAAUCACAAUGUACAGUUUCCCCUCGCUGUGCUUAAUACAGGAACCAUGGUUUAGGUCCUAUCUGUAGUUGAAAGAUGGCAAUAGGCACUGCUGCCCCCCUUCUCUUAUAACAAAUAAGGGUGCUUGUCUGGUAAAGCUGGUAGUUGCCACUAUUUUUGUUGCUCCUCCCAAACUAGACCAGAUAUAAGGAAGAAAUUUUUCACAACAUGGGUGGUGAGACACUGGAACAAGUUCUUAGAGAAGCUGUGGAUGCUCCAUCACUCUAAGUGUUCAGAGUCACACUGGACUCUGAACAACUCGAUCUUGUAAAAGAUGGGUUGGACUUCUUGUUCUGUAAUGGGCCCUUCCAACUCAAAGCAUCCCAUUUCUCUACGAUUUUGAGCCCUCCCAAGGGUAAGUGACAUUCAUCCUAACACUUCCCUUCAAACUGGGACUCUCUUUUAGGCUUAGAUUUCCUUGGUUCUGUUCCCUUUUCAGUUAGGGAAAUAUUGUCACAGAUCUACUAGUGCUCUUUUUCACCAGCCAG
ensembl:lncRNA